rnacentral:rRNA from 1 species
ACUAUUGGAAACGAUAGCUAAGACCGCAUAGGUACGGACACUGCAUGGUGACCGUAUUAAAAGUGCCUCAAAGCACUGGUAGAGGAUGGACUUAUGGCGCAUUAGCUGGUUGGCGGGGUAACGGCCCACCAAGGCGACGAUGCGUAGCCGACCUGAGAGGGUGACCGGCCACACUGGGACUGAGACACGGCCCAGACUCCUACGGGAGGCAGCAUG